AUAUGAGGGCAAUCCGGAUGCCGCAUUUCUCUCCCCAUGGACUGGUUGAUUCUGCUGAUCUGGCUGGCUCAGAGAGUGUCCCUCCCCUGUCCCCUACAUGUGUACCUCUCUAGAACUUGCUUACCUUGUUAGAGAGGACAAUCUUCCCCAAUAAGAGAGGACUGUUCUUCCAUCAAAGAUACCUGAAUACCUGCAACCCUGCUAGAACCUCCAUACUGCAGGAAUUACAUCCUCCGAUGCCAGUGGCUAGUGUAUGGUUACCUUCAGGCACACAGGGGCAGCUGGUGAGGAUGGUUCUCCU
rnacentral:snRNA from 1 species